UUACGGGAGGCAGCAGUGGGGAAUAUUGCGCAAUGGCCGCAAGGCUGACGCAGCGACGCCGCGUGUGGGAUGAAGGCCUUCGGGUUGUAAACCACUGUCGGGGGGGGCGAAUACUCGGCUUCGAACAGGAGACCGAGGGUGACGGUACCCCCAAAGGAAGCACCGGCUAACUCCGUGCCAGCAGCCGCGGUAAUACGGAGGGUGCGAGCGUUGUCCGGAAUCACUGGGCGUAAAGGGCGCGUAGGCGGCCGUGUAAGUCACUUGUGAAAUCCCGGGGCUCAACUCCGGGGCCGCAGGUGAGACUGCGUGGCUAGAGCACGGUAGAGGCGAGUGGAAUUCCCGGUGUAGCGGUGGAAUGCGUAGAUAUCGGGAAGAACACCGGUGGCGAAGGCGGCUCGCUGGGCCGUUGCUGACGCUGAGGCGCGAAAGCGUGGGGAGCAAACAGGAUUAGAUACCCUGGUAGC
rnacentral:rRNA from 1 species